CAAGUAAUCACAGGAGUCCAGGGGCUGUGGCUUUAAGAACUCCACAAGUUAUCUUAAGAAUGGAGAAAAAAAAUCAGGUGGUGACCUAGAAAGUAGGAGCUUUUCUAGAGACUGAGACUGUGGAAUUGAGAAAUGCUGGAAGCUAAUGAAAGCUGAACUGAAAAAAUAGAGUAGAAAAACAGAACCCAAUCUGCAAGGACAAGAUAAGUGUCUGGUUUAUUAGAACAUAUCAUCUUAAUUUUGUACAAUAGUGAGAGAAAAAAAGCAGGGAGAGGUGAACAAGGCCAAAAGAACGUAAACCAAAGAAGUAAACUCUGCAAAUCUUGAUGAAUACAACUCCACUGGAAAGAAAAAAAAAAAGAAAAUUCUCCACUGAAAUACAUACUCAAGUCAUGACUUAAGAGUUGGACCAACACUGUCUAGUUAUUCUUGAGCAAUUUUGUGUUGAAAUGCUGUUAAUUAGAAGCAGGUAUCCUUUUCAGAGGUAAGUGCACCACUGAACAUAUUGUACUUCAACAUCUAUAGAAGUAAGAAACAAAAAAUCUGCAAUGUGC
rnacentral:lncRNA from 1 species